AGUCAAGUGAAUAAGCGCGUAUGGUGGAUGCCUUGGCAGUAAGAGGCGAUGAAGGACGUAGUAGCCUGCAAUAAGCUUCGGGAAGCUGGCAAACAAGCAAUGAUCCGGAGAUUUCCGAAUGGGGAAACCCAACCUUUAAUUAAGGUUAUUAUGUACUGAAUUCAUAGGCACAUAAGGCGAACCUGGGGAACUGAAACAUCUAAGUACCCAGAGGAAAAGAAAUCAACCGAGAUUCCGUCAGUAGUGGCGAGCGAAAGCGGAACAGCCCAGUUACUAAAUCAUUAUUGGCUUUAGCAGAAUGUUCUGGAAAGUUCAGCUAUAGUGGGUGAUAGCCCCGUAUGUAAAAGGGCUAAUAAUGUGGGUAACGAUGAGUAGGUCGGGACACGUGAAAUCUUGACUGAAUAUGGGGGGACCAUCCUCCAAGGCUAAAUACUCCUUACUGACCGAUAGCGAACUAGUACCGUGAGGGAAAGGUGAAAAGAACCCCGGCAAGGGGAGUGAAAUAGAACCUGAAACCGUAUGCGUACAAGCAGUCAAAGCAUUUCUUUGGAAGUGUGAUGGCGUACCUUUUGUAUAAUGGGUCAGCGACUUACUUGUUGUAGCAAGCUUAACCGUAUAGGGGAGGCGUAGGGAAACCGAGUCUGAAAUGGGCGUUUAGUUGCAACAAGUAGACCCGAAACCGGGCGAUCUAUCUAUGGCCAGGGUGAAGGUCAGGUAACACUGACUGGAGGCCCGAACCCACUACUGUUGAAAAAGUAGGGGAUGAGUUGUGGAUAGGAGUGAAAGGCUAAUCAAGCUCGGAGAUAGCUGGUUCUCCUCGAAAGCUAUUUAGGUAGCACCUCGUGUAUGACUCUUGGGGGUAGAGCACUGUUUCGGUUAGGGAGCCAUCCCGGCCUACCAAACCGAAGCAAACUCCGAAUACCAAGAAGUUUUAGCACGGGAGACACACUGCGGGUGAUAAGGUCCGUGGUGAAAAGGGAAACAGCCCAGACCGCCAGCUAAGGUCCCAAAAUCACAGUUAAGUGGAAAACGAUGUGGGAAGUCUCAGACAGUCAGGAGGUUGGCUUAGAAGCAGCCAUCCUUUAAAGAAAGCGUAAUAGCUCACUGAUCGAGUCGUCCUGCGCGAAAGAUUUAACGGGGCUUAAACUAUGUACCGAAGCUGCGGAGCUCUUUUUAGAGCUGGUAGAGGAGCGUUCUGUAAGCCUGCGAAGGUAAAUCGAGAGGUUUGCUGGAGGUAUCAGAAGUGCGAAUGCUGACAUGAGUAACGAUAAUGUGGGUGAAAAACCUACACGCCGAAAGUCCAAGGUUUCCUGCGCAACGUUAAUCGGCGCAGGGUGAGUCGGUCCCUAAGGCGAAGUAGAAAUGCGUAGUCGAUGGGAAACAGGUUAAUAUUCCUGUACUUUACAAUACUGCGAUGGGAGGACGGAGAAGGCUAGGUCAGCCACUCGAUGGUUGUAGUGGUUUAAGUGCGUAGGAAGAGUUCUUUGGCAAAUCCGGGAGCUCAAUUCUGAGAUAUGAUGACGAAGCAUGACUCGUUUAUGCGAAGUGACUAAUGCCACGCUUCCAGGAAAAGUCUCUAAGCUUCAGGUAUUGUAGAACCGUACCCCAAACCGACACAGGUGGACAGGUAGAGAAUACUAAGGCGUUUGAGAGAACUUGGGUGAAGGAACUAGGCAAAAUGACACCGUAACUUCGGGAGAAGGUGUGCCCUUAGUAAGUGAAAGUCCUCGCGAUUAGAGCUGAAGAGGGUUGCAGAUACCAGGUGGCUGCGACUGUUUACUAAAAACACAGCACUCUGCAAACUCGUAAGAGGACGUAUAGGGUGUGACGCCUGCCCGGUGCCGGAAGGUUAAAUGAUGGGGUUAGCCCUCUCGGGCGAAGCUCCGGAUUGAAGCCCCGGUAAACGGCGGCCGUAACUAUAACGGUCCUAAGGUAGGAUUGCUGCCUUAGUAAAAUCUGGCUAUAUGCUGGAAACUCCGAGCAUCCUGCAGUACUCGCUUUGCAUAAAAUUUUUUAAUUUUUAUGCAAAGCAGUGAAAAUCUGACAGGUGCGGACAAUCAGCAGGAAAGACUGGUAAAAAUUGGAUUAGACAGUUAGUUUUGUAGAUGGCGAAGGAUACUUUUUGAUCGACUUUUGUUAAACAGCAAAGUAGAAAAACUCAGAAAGGUUACAAAACUGGCUAUCAAGUGUUUCAUGAAUUCGCUGUUACUCAAAGUGGAAAAAGCCUUGCCAGUUUACAGGAACUUCAUGAGCUCUUUAAAGUUGGGCAAAUCAAAUAAAUAUUUAAAGAUAUGACAAUUAUAAAGACCACUUGUAUCGAUAUCUCGUAAGACGGCGGAAAGAUUUAUUAGAAAUAAUCAUUCCGUUUUUUUUGACGAUAUUCAUUGUAGACUUCAUUUGAUUAAGAUUAAGAUUGCUGAAAUUACUCAAACAAUGAAUUGUCAACAAUCGCGAGCCGAAUUUAUCAGAAUCCUCAGAGACUAUAUGCCGGAUAUUCGAUAAACUUCGCGAUAAACUUCGCGAUAAACUUCGCGAUAAACUUCGAAUGAAGAUAUAGUCCCGACUACAUGGCGACAUGUAGGAAAAGUAAAAUUACUUUUCGACCUAUUCAAAUUACAAAUUAAUUGAAUAAGUUAAGAUUUCAAGCGAAAUUCCUUGUCGGGUAAGUUCCGACCUGCACGAAUGGCGUAACGAUGGCCACGCUGUCUCCACCCAAGGCUCAGUGAAAUUGAAAUCGCUGUGAAGAUGCAGCGUACCCGCGGCUAGACGGAAAGACCCCGUGAACCUUUACUACAGCUUUACAUUGAACUUUGAAUAUGCCUGUGUAGGAUAGGUGGGAGGCUUUGAAGCUGAAGCGCUAGCUCCAGUGGAGCCAUCCUUGAAAUACCACCCUUGGUGUGUUUGACGUUCUAACCUUGACCCGUUAUCCGGGUUGGGGACAGUGUAUGGUGGGUAGUUUGACUGGGGCGGUCUCCUCCAAAAAAGUAACGGAGGAGUACAAAGGUACCCUCAGCACGGUCGGAAAUCGUGCAUUGUGUGCAAAGGCGUAAGGGUGCUUGACUGCGAGACUGACAAGUCGAGCAGGUACGAAAGUAGGUCUUAGUGAUCCGGUGGUCCUUUAUGGAAGGGCCAUCGCUCAACGGAUAAAAGGUACUCCGGGGAUAACAGGCUGAUACCACCCAAGAGUUCAUAUCGACGGUGGUGUUUGGCACCUCGAUGUCGGCUCAUCACAUCCUGGGGCUGUAGCCGGUCCCAAGGGUAUGGCUGUUCGCCAUUUAAAGUGGUACGUGAGCUGGGUUUAGAACGUCGUGAGACAGUUCGGUCCCUAUCUGCCGUGGGCGUUGGAGAUUUGAGAGGAGCUGCUCCUAGUACGAGAGGACCGGAGUGGACGUACCUCUGGUGUUCCGGUUGUCACGCCAGUGGCACUGCCGGGUAGCUAAGUACGGACAGGAUAACCGCUGAAAGCAUCUAAGCGGGAAGCCCCCCUCAAGAUGAGAUCUCCCGGACCCUAGAGGUCCCUAAAGAUUCGUUGAAGACUACAACGUUGAUAGGCAGGAUGUGGAAGCUCAGUAAUGAGUGAAGCUAACCUGUACUAAUUAAUCGUGCGACUUGACUAU
rfam:Coxiella-like endosymbiont strain CRt, complete genome.